rnacentral:rRNA from 1 species
AGUGAACGCUGGCGGUAGGCCUAACACAUGCAAGUCGAACGAGUGGCGGACGGGUGUGGAAUACAUCGGAAUCUACUCUGUCGUGGGGGAUAACGUAGGGACACUAACACUAAUACUGCAUACGAUUGAAUGAGCCGAGGUCGGUUUAGCUAGUUGGCGGGGUAAAGGCCCACCAAGGCGACGAUCCGUAGCUGGUCUGUGAGGAGGACCAGGAACACUGGAACUGAGAUACGGUCCAGACUCCUACGGGAGGCAGGAGUGGGGAAUAGUGGACAAUGGGCGCAAGCCUGAUCCAGCCAUACCGCGUGGGUGAAGAAGGCCUUCGGGUUGUAAAGCCCUUUUGUUGGGAAAGCGGUACCCAAAGAAUAAGGACCGGCUAACUUCGUGCCAGCAGCCGCGGUAAUUC